rnacentral:lncRNA from 1 species
CCUCGACACCGACACUUCCGGCGCCUUCUAAUGCCGUGUACCGCCCCCGCGCUGCCGCCGAAUACGAAGUAUGUGUGUGUAUGUAUACACACAUACACACACACACUCACACACACACGCUCAGCGCCUCCGCAGCGCUCGCAAGUAUUUGCGCAACUUCCGCUUUCGGAGAUAAGACACGGAAAACGGGUGGGACUGAGGCUUUUACUAGCCAAUCAGACGCAAAAUGGCAGUUUAGGGGUGUGGCUAAAGGGGGCGGGGAGAGCGGUCAGCCCGAGGAUCUUCGCGGCGAGAGAGGGUUUCAGUGUGGUGCGACAGGUCUGGAGCAAGGGAUCUCGGUUUCGUUUCGCUGGAGCCCCGAAGCUACGCAUGCGCACAAGAAUCCUGUCCCUGGGACGCCAGUUAUCUCCUGGAGGCACCUGAUGUUCUUUUAAAAACCUAGGGAAAGAGCGAAGACCUUCGUCACAUGCCAAGCAGAACUUGACUCUGACGCACUGCAGAAUAUAGUGCAUUCAUUGGGAGUCUAGCCUGACUUUCUUUUGCGUUAUCUUGAAUUUGGUCAUUUCGACUCAAUAAAGUAGACGUGAAUAACUAGGUAUACCUGAGUCUGGGGGUGGGAAUGGGCUACGGACCGGUUUGGUGUGAUGGAAAUACCCCUAAACUGGACUGUGGGGGUGGCUGCAUUAUUUACUAUUUUUUGUACAGCUGAAAGGGUGAGUGUAUACAAUAGACCUUAUUCUGUGAUGAUGUGAGCGCCUGUAUUGGAAUGGCUCCACUUCAGGCUGAGUAAAAGACCAAGAUGAAGCCUGCCUUC